AUCUCUGAUGGUUGAUGUGAUGGCUCAAGUGCGGUAUCGAUCGAUGGGGAGGGAGGUAGAGGCUCACUCACUCUUUGUGAUAGAGAUGCAUCAUCUACGGAGAGGUCGAAGUCUGAGAAGUUAGGAUAUGAGGUGUGCUGGACAUAUGAAGAGGUACUCAGAUCCACUGAUGGUACAGUCUGAAGUUAUCUAUUCUCUGAGACAACUCGCAUAGUAUCAACAAGGCCGUCCAUAAUAUCUGCAAGUGCUCGAUCCUUGCAUCCAACAG
rnacentral:lncRNA from 1 species